rnacentral:lncRNA from 1 species
AUGGGCAGUAAGAAGGACUCUCAUCGUUUCUACCAAAAGCCCCUGUCAAGCCUCUACUCUGCUAUACAGCAAAGGUUCUUAGUUAAAAACACAACUCUCAAAACAAGACAACUACCAGGGAGAGUCAACAGCCUGUAUGAAACACCUCUUCUCCCUUUUAACUUCCUAAA